rnacentral:rRNA from 2 species
CAACUUUCAACAAUGGAUCUCUUGGCUCUGGCAUCGAUGAAGAACGCAGCGAAAUGCGAUAAGUAGUGUGAAUUGCAGAAUUCCGUGAAUCAUCGAAUCUUUGAACGCACAUUGCGCCCCUUGGUAUUCCUUGGGGCAUGCCUGUUCGAGCGUCAUUU